AAGUAUGUGUCCAUAGAUGUAGACCACAAAUAAAAUAUAAAACGUCGACGCAUCACUACAUAGUAUGAAAUAAAGUAGCUGCGGUGUAGAUUUGUAUCUUGUUCCGUUCCAAUGACUGAUACGGUCAGAAAUCGCAAAUACUACCGGAAACAAGUUGUGUUAUCUAGCGAUAAGACGAACACGUACGGUGUUACUGGCUAUUGUCUCAUAUGGAUACGCGCCCAUAAGUCGAACCACCAUUGCAUGCAGUGUUACUUCGUACCUCGUUCAAUUUCGUUACGGUCGAAACUCAAAAUGUUUAUGCAAGAGAAUCGUAUCAUUUCACAAUAUAGGCCGAACAUGCCCAUACAUCAAAGAAAGCAACAUAGACGUCUCAAGCAAAUGGCACUGCAAGUCAUCCACAAAGUUACUGAGAUAUUUCUACCCGUUAUGCCCCUUGAAGACGCCGCUAAGGAGCCAUUGAAAUAGUGACUUG